CAGUCGCAUUAGGAGUGUCCGUGGACCGGACUGAGAUACGCUCAGUAAGCGUGGAUCCUAGAACCUGUGAGCUAGUACUCGCGUAGGGAAAUGCAGUCGCAAGAAC
rnacentral:ncRNA from 2 species